GAUGAACGCUAGCGGCAGGCCUAAUACAUGCAAGUCGGACGGGAUUCAGGAGCUUGCUUCUGAUGAGAGUGGCGCACGGGUGCGUAACACGUAUGUAACCUACCUUUAUCAGGGGGAUAGCCUCUCGAAAGAGAGAUUAAGCCCGCAUAAAAUCACAGCACAGCAUUGUGUAAUGAUCAAAUAUUUAUAGGAUAAAGAUGGGCAUGCGGAACAUUAGCUAGAUGGCGGGGUAACGGCCCACCAUGGCGACGAUGUUUAGGGGAUCUGAGAGGAUGGCCCCCCACACUGGUACUGAGACACGGACCAGGCUCCUACGGGAGGCAGCAGUAAGGAAUAUUGGUCAAUGGGCGGAAGCCUGAACCAGCCAUGCCGCGUGCAGGAAGACGGCCCUACGGGUUGUAAACUGCUUUUAUACGGGAAUAAACCCAGAUACGUGUAUCUGGCUGAAUGUACUGUAAGAAUAAGGAUCGGCUAACUCCGUG
rnacentral:rRNA from 1 species